ACUUUGUAUACGUGGUAGGGGAGCGUUCUGUAAGCCGAUGAAGGUGUGUUGAGAAGCAUGCUGGAGGUAUCAGAAGUGCGAAUGCUGACGUGAGUAACGACAAAACGGGUGAAAAACCCGUUCGCCGAAAGACCAAGGGUUCCAGUCCAACGUUAAUCGGGGCUGGGUGAGUCGACCCCUAAGGCGAGGCCGAAAGGCGUAGUCGAUGGGAAAAUGGUUAAUAUUCCAUUACUUCUGUGUAAUGCGAUGAGAGGACGGAGAAGGCUAAAUCAGCCUGGCGUUGGUUGUCCAGGUGAAAGGAUGUAGGCAUGUAUCUUAGGCAAAUCCGGGGUACUCUAUGCUGAGAUCUGAUAGCAAGCUGUACUUGUACAGCGAAGUGGUUGAUGCCAUGCUUCCAGGAAAAGUCUCUAAGCUUCAGUUACACAGGAAUCGUACCCGAAACCGACACAGGUGGUCAGGUCGAGUAGACCAAGGCGCUUGAGAGAACUCUGCUGAAGGAACUAGGCAAAAUGGUACCGUAACUUCGGGAGAAGGUACGCUGUUGUUGGUGAUGGAACUCGCUUCCUGAGCUGACGACAGCCGCAGAAACCAGGCCGCUGCAACUGUUUAUUAAAAACAUAGCACUCUGCAAACACGAAAGUGGACGUAUAGGGUGUGAUGCCUGCCCGGUGCUGGAAGGUUAAUUGAUGGGGUUAGCGUAAGCGAAGCUCUUGAUCGAAGCCCCAGUAAACGGCGGCCGUAACUAUAACGGUCCUAAGGUAGCGAAAUUCCUUGUCGGGUAAGUUCCGACCUGCACGAAUGGCAUAAUGAUGGCGGCGCUGUCUCCAGCAGAGGCUCAGUGAAAUCGAAAUCGCUGUGAAGAUGCAGUGUACCCGCGGCUAGACGGAAAGACCCCGUGAACCUUUACUGCAGCUUGACACUGAACUUUGACCUUACUUGUGUAGGAUAGGUGGGAGGCUUUGAAGCUGGAACGCUAGUUCCAGUGGAGCCGUCCUUGAAAUACCACCCUGGUAAUGUUGAGGUUCUAACUCUGUCCCGUGAUCCGGGACGAGGACCGUGUCUGGUGGGUAGUUUGACUGGGGCGGUCUCCUCCUAAAGAGUAACGGAGGAGUACGAAGGUGCGCUCAGCGUGGUCGGAAAUCACGCGUAGAGUAUAAAGGCAAAAGCGCGCUUAACUGCGAGACCCACAAGUCGAGCAGGUACGAAAGUAGGUCUUAGUGAUCCGGUGGUUCUGUAUGGAAGGGCCAUCGCUCAACGGAUAAAAGGUACUCUGGGGAUAACAGGCUGAUACCGCCCAAGAGUUCAUAUCGACGGCGGUGUUUGGCACCUCGAUGUCGGCUCAUCUCAUCCUGGGGCUGAAGCAGGUCCCAAGGGUAUGGCUGUUCGCCAUUUAAAGAGGUACGCGAGCUGGGUUUAGAACGUCGUGAGACAGUUCGGUCCCUAUCUACCGUGGGCGCUGGAAAUUUGAGAGGAUCUGCUCCUAGUACGAGAGGACCAGAGUGGACGAACCUCUGGUGUACCGGUUGUGACGCCAGUCGCAUCGCCGGGUAGCUAUGUUCGGAAGGGAUAACCGCUGAAAGCAUCUAAGCGGGAAGCCUACCUCAAGAUAAGAUUUCCCUAGGACUUUAUGUCCUCUAAAGAGCCGUUCGAGACUAGGACGUUGAUAGGUUGGAUGUGGAAGCAUAGUGAUAUGUGAAGCUGACCAAUACUAAUUGCUCGUGAGGCUUGACUAUACAACACCCA
rnacentral:rRNA from 1 species